AGCCUCAAUACAAUCAGCUAUUUGUCAAGAAGCCUGAUCUAGAUAACCCCUGGCCUUAGGGAGUACAGAACUACAUAUGUGUAUAAGUUGUAGCCUACUAGCCUGGUCUUUUCUUUGAGUUGUGUUGCAAGUACUCUUUGAAGCCCUGUUAUCAGGAGCAUGUUUUAUGAUUAGUUAGAGGAUUCUCUUCGGUGACGAUGAAUAUAUUUAGCUAGUCAUUUUAAUAUUGGUAUGUGUGAUACUGAGGCUAAUGCCGGCAGUUAUCGUUCACGCUGUUUAUGUGUUGUGAAGUCCAAUGAGCUCGGCGAGAUGAUCAUAUGAUAUAAGUGCAGUUCUAAGUGGCAUCCAGUGUUUGUAAUAGUUGACAGAUAAUGCUUGCUGGAAGACAAGGUCACUGCGGUAUGACUUCAGAGGUUAUUUCCAGAUUACAGAUUUUUGUGCUUUUUCAUGACAGACUCUGUAGUUGAAAAAUCACGUGAAUGUGAUUCCUUCGGGCACGGUAAGAACUGGAGCUGUUUUGCCGUGUCUUUGUAACUUUGUUUGCAGAGUAUUCUUAGGGGUAUUUGUUUGGGAUUAUAUAAUCUAGACAAAUUAUAAUCCCAAACAAACAUCUCUUUAUUUAGCCAAGUCAAUUGCAAGGAUAAAGAGGUGUAUUAUAGUGUGUUGUACCUUUGUAUGACAGCCUCUUUGGU
rnacentral:lncRNA from 7 species